rnacentral:ncRNA from 1 species
GGUUAAGUUAGAAAGGGCGCACGGUGGAUGCCUUGGCACUAGGAGCCGAUGAAGGACGGGACUAACACCGAUAUGCUUCGGGGAGCUGUAAGUAAGCUUUGAUCCGGAGAUUUCCGAAUGGGGGAACCCACUGCUCGUAAUGGAGUAGUAUCUUUACCUGAAUACAUAGGGUAUUGAAGGCAUACCCGGGGAACUGAAACAUCUAAGUACCCGGAGGAAGAGAAAGCAAACGCGAUUCCCUGAGUAGCGGCGAGCGAAACGGGACAUAGCCCAAACCAAGAGGCUUGCCUCUUGGGGUUGUAGGACACUCAACAUGGAGUUACAAAGGAACGGGGUAGAUGAAGCGACCUGGAAAGGUCAGCCGUAGAAGGUAAAAGCCCUGUAGUUGAAACUUCGUUCCCUCCUGAGUGGAUCCUGAGUACGGCCGGACA